rnacentral:rRNA from 1 species
UUUCGCAAUGCCCGAAAGGGUGACGAAGCGACGCCGCGUGGGUGAGGAAGGCCUUCGGGUUGUAAAGCCCUGUCAGGAGUUAUGAAAUGUAAGUGCGCUAAUAUCGUGCUUAUUUGACAAAGGCUCCAAAGGAAGCCACGGCUAACUCUGUGCCAGCAGCCGCGGUAAUACAGAGGUGGCGAGCGUUGUUCGGAAUUAUUGGGCGUAAAGAGCACGUAGGUGGGUUCGCAAGUCAGAUGUGAAAGCCUUCUGUUCAACGGAAGAAUUGCAUCUGAAACUGCUAAUCUUGAGUAUAGGAGGGGAGAAUGGAACUUCUGGUGGAGCGGUGAAAUGCGUAGAUAUCAGAAGGAACGCCGGCGGCGAAAGCGAUUCUCUGGCCUAUUACUGACACUCAGUGUGCGAAAGCUAGGGGAGCAAACGGGAUUAGAUACCCCGGUAGUCCUAGCCGUAAACGAUGGGCACUAAGUAGAGGGGUUUUA